rnacentral:rRNA from 1 species
AUUGAACGCUGGCGGCAGGCCUAACACAUGCAAGUCGAGCGGUAGAGAGGUGCUUGCAUCUCUUGAGAGCGGCGGACGGGUGAGUAAUGCCUAGGGAUCUGCCUAGUGGUGGGGGAUAACGUUCGGAAACGGACGCUAAUACCGCAUACGUCCUACGGGAGAAAGCGGGGGAUCUUCGGACCUCGCGCCAUUAGAUGAGCCUAGGUCGGAUUAGCUAGUUGGUGAGGUAAUGGCUCACCAAGGCGACGAUCCGUAACUGGUCUGAGAGGAUGAUCAGUCACACUGGAACUGAGACACGGUCCAGACUCCUACGGGAGGCAGCAGUGGGGAAUAUUGGACAAAUGGGCGAAAGCCUGAUCCAGCCAUGCCGCGUGUGUGAAGAAGGUCUUCGGAUUGUAAAGCACUUUAAGUUGGGAGGAAGGGUAGGUAACCUAAUACGUUGCUACUUUGACGUUACCGACAGAUAAGCACCGGCUAACUUCG